GGACGAACGCUGGCGGCGUGCCUAAUACAUGCAAGUAGAACGCUGAAGAGAGGAGCUUGCUCUUCUUGGAUGAGUUGCGAACGGGUGAGUAACGCGUAGGUAACCUGCCUUGUAGCGGGGGAUAACUAUUGGAAACGAUAGCUAAUACCGCAUAACAAUGGAUGACACAUGUCAUUUAUUUGAAAGGGGCAAUUGCUCCACUACAAGAUGGACCUGCGUUGUAUUAGCUAGUAGGUGAGGUAAUGGCUCACCUAGGCGACGAUACAUAGCCGACCUGAGAGGGUGAUCGGCCACACUGGGACUGAGACACGGCCCAGACUCCUACGGGAGGCAGCAGUAGGGAAUCUUCGGCAAUGGGGGCAACCCUGACCGAGCAACGCCGCGUGAGUGAAGAAGGUUUUCGGAUCGUAAAGCUCUGUUGUAAGUCAAGAACGGGUGUGAGAGUGGAAAGUUCACACUGUGACGGUAGCUUACCAGAAAGGGACGGCUAACUACGUGCCAGCAGCCGCGGUAAUACGUAGGUCCCGAGCGUUGUCCGGGAUUUAUUGGGCGUAAAGCGAGCGCAGGCGGUUUGAUAAGUCUGAAGUUAAAGGCUGUGGCUCAACCAUAGUUCGCUUUGGAAACUGUCAAACUUGAGUGCAGAAGGGGAGAGUGGAAUUCCAUGUGUAGCGGUGAAAUGCGUAGAUAUAUGGAGGAACACCGGUGGCGAAAGCGGCUCUCUGGUCUGUAACUGACGCUGAGGCUCGAAAGCGUGGGGAGCGAACAGGAUUAGAUACCCUGGUAGUCCACGCCGUAAACGAUGAGUGCUAGGUGUUGGAUCCUUUCCGGGAUUCAGUGCCGCAGCUAACGCAUUAAGCACUCCGCCUGGGGAGUACGACCGCAAGGUUGAAACUCAAAGGAAUUGACGGGGGCCCGCACAAGCGGUAGAGCAUGUGGUUUAAUUCGAAGCAACGCGAAGAACCUUACCAGGUCUUGACAUCCCGAUGCUAUUUCUAGAGAUAGAAAGUUACUUCGGUACAUCGGUGACAGGUGGUGCAUGGUUGUCGUCAGCUCGUGUCGUGAGAUGUUGGGUUAAGUCCCGCAACGAGCGCAACCCCUAUUGUUAGUUGCCAUCAUUCAGUUGGGCACUCUAGCGAGACUGCCGGUAAUAAACCGGAGGAAGGUGGGGAUGACGUCAAAUCAUCAUGCCCCUUAUGACCUGGGCUACACACGUGCUACAAUGGUUGGUACAACGAGUUGCGAGUCGGUGACGGCGAGCUAAUCUCUUAAAGCCAAUCUCAGUUCGGAUUGUAGGCUGCAACUCGCCUACAUGAAGUCGGAAUCGCUAGUAAUCGCGGAUCAGCACGCCGCGGUGAAUACGUUCCCGGGCCUUG
rnacentral:rRNA from 1 species